rnacentral:rRNA from 1 species
UACGUAGGGCGCAAGCGUUGUCCGGAAUUAUUGGGCGUAAAGAGCUCGUAGGCGGUCUGUCGCGUCUGUUGUGAAAACUCGAGGCUCAACCUCGGGCUUGCAGUGGAUACGGGCAGACUAGAGUGCGGUAGGGGAGACUGGAAUUCCUGGUGUAGCGGUGGAAUGCGCAGAUAUCAGGAGGAACACCGAUGGCGAAGGCAGGUCUCUGGGCCGCAACUGACGCUGAGGCGCGAAAGCGUGGGGAGCGAACAGG